rnacentral:misc_RNA from 1 species
GCAAACUUGGUCAUUUAGAGGAAGUAAAAGUCGUAACAAGGUUUCCGUAGGUGAACCUGCGGAAGGAUCAUUACAGAAUAAUUUUGAUAAGUUGUAGCUGGUUCACUCCCCUGGGCAUGUGCACACUUGUCAUUUUUAUCUUUUCACCAAGUGCACUCCGCAUAGGUCUGAAGAACAUAACUUGAUCAAAGGUCACUUUGAUUUUUGGAAAUUGCUGUUUUAUUCAACGGCUUUUUCUGUCUUCAGUCCUAUGAUUUAUACACACACCAAUGUAUGUUAAAGAACGCUAUACAAAGGCCAUUAAAAGCCUAUAUAUCUAUAAUACAACUUUCAGCAACGGAUCUCUUGGCUCUCGCAUCGAUGAAGAACGCAGC